GGUCAAGAUACUAAGGGCAUUCGGUGGAUGCCUUGGCAUCAGACGGCGAUGAAGGACGUGGUAGGCUGCGAUAAGCCACGGUGAGCUGCGAGCAAGCUAUGAACCGUGGAUUUCCGAAUGGGGCAACCCGUCUAGGUAAAGCCUAGACAUUUUAUACUGAAUACAUAGGUAUAUAAAGCUAACCCGGGGAAGUGAAACAUCUCAGUACCCGGAGGAAAAGAAAUCAAUUGAGAUUCCCUCAGUAGCGGCGAGCGAACGGGGAACAGCCUAAACCCGGGAAGACAUUAAGUUUAUGAGUUACGGAUAUUUUAAUAAAUAUCAUAGAUUCAUAGAUUUAAUGUCUUCUCGGGGGUUGCAGGACCGCAUAAGUACUAUCAGCAUUAUAUAAUUGAACCGUAUGGAAAGGCGGGCCAGAGAGGGUGAUAGCCCUGUAAGUGAAAUAUAAUGUUGAAGGAAGCGGUAUCCUAAGUACUACGGGACACGUGAAAUCCCGUGGGAAUCUGGGUAGACCACUAUCCAAGGCUAAAUACGUGCUGAUGACCGAUAGCGUAUAGUACCGUGAGGGAAAGGCGAAAAGAACCCCUGUAAGGGGAGUGAAAUAGAACCUGAAACCGAAUGCCUACAAGCAAUCAGAGCAUGACUUGUCAUGUGAUGGUGUGCCUUUUGAUUAAUGAGCCGGCGAGUUACUAGUUGCAGCAAGGUUAAUCACGUUGACGUGAGGAGCCGCAGGGAAACCAAGUCUUAACAGGGCGAUUAGUUGCAAAUAGUAGACCCGAAGCCAGGUGAUCUAUCCAUGGUCAGGGUGAAGCGAGGGUAAGACUUCGUGAAGGCCCGCACUGAUAUAUGUUGCAAAAUGUUCGGAUGAACUGUGGAUAGGGGUGAAAGGCCAAUCAAACCUGGUGAUAGCUGGUUCUCCCCGAAAUGUAUUUAGGUACAGCCUCAGAUUAUAGUCUAGAGGGGGUAGGGCACUGAAUGGGCUAGGGUUGCGCAAGCGAUACCAAUCCCAAUCAAACCACGAAUACCUUAUAGAUGUUAUCUGGGAGUGAGGCUAUGGGUGCUAAGAUUCAUGGCCGAGAGGGAAACAACCCAGACCGUCAGCUAAGGUCCCUAAAUUAUGCUAAGUGGGAAAGGAUGUGAUGCUGCAGAGACAACCAGGAUGUUGGCUUAGAAGCAGCCAUCAUUUAAAGAAAGCGUAAUAGCUCACUGGUCAAGCGACACUGCGCCGAAAAUUUAACGGGGCUCAAGCACUGCACCGAAGCUACGGAACGCAGCAAUGCGUUGGUAGGGGAGCAUUCUGUAAGCCUGUGAAGGUAAGUCGUGAGGCUUGCUGGAGGUAUCAGAAGAGAGUAUGUCGGCAUAAGUAGCGCAAAGACUGAUGGGAAGUCAGUCCGCCGUAAACCUAAGGUUUCCUGGGGAAGGUAAAUCCGCCCAGGGUUAGUCGGUCCUAAGAUGAGGCCGCCAGGCGUAAUCGAUGGACAACAGGUUAAUAUUCCUGCACCAACUUGUAGUCGUUGAUCCUAGGGGUAACGCAGGAGGAUAGUCAGAGCAUGGUGAUGGUUCAUGUCCAAGCGUUUAGGCUUGUGGGUAGGCAAAUCCGCCCACUUUAAGGCUGAGUCGUGAUGGGGAGCCCUUUAGGGCGAACUCUGGUGAUUCCACGCUGACGAGAAAAACCUCGAGUGGAGACUGCAGGUUGACCGUACCGCAAACCGACACAGGUAGGUGGGUAGAAGAUACCAAGGCGUUCGAGAGAAACCUCGCUAAGGAACUCGGCAAAAUAACCCCGUAACUUCGGGAGAAGGGGUCCCUGAGAAAUCAGGGCGCAGUGAAAUGGCCCAGGCGACUGUUUACCAAAAACACAGGUGUCUGCAAACUCGCAAGAGGAAGUAUAGACACUGACGCCUGCCCGGUGCCGGAAGGUUAAUGGGAGAUGUUAUCGCAAGAGAAGCAUUGAACUGAAGCCCCGGUAAACGGCGGCCGUAACUAUAACGGUCCUAAGGUAGCGAAAUUCCUUGUCGGGUAAGUUCCGACCUGCACGAAUGGCGUAACGACUUCCGCACUGUCUCAAUCAGAGGCUCAGUGAAAUUGUAUUGGCGGUGAAGAUGCCGUCUACCCGCAACAAGACGGAAAGACCCCGUGCACCUUUACUACAACUUGACAUUGGAUUUUGGGCUAGCAUGUGUAGGAUAGGUGGGAGGCUUUGAAGCGGGAACGCUAGUUCUCGUGGAGCCAUCCUUGAAAUACCACCCUUGGUAGUCUAGAGUUCUAACCUAGACCCGUUAUCCGGGUCGGGGACAUUGUCUGGUGGGUAGUUUGACUGGGGCGGGUUGAUAUGGAGGGAGCCGGCAUUUCCACAACUUAGCCCGCAAGUUAGACGAUAAAAACCGGUGAAUAUCGCGCAAACGCCCGCACCAUAACGGCACGGGCGUUGUUUAUUCAU
rnacentral:rRNA from 1 species